rfam:Ictidomys tridecemlineatus contig046593, whole genome shotgun sequence.
GGGGAUAUGGCUCAUUUGGGAGAGUGCUUGCCUCCCAUGCACAAGGCCCUGGGUUCAAUCCCCAGUACAACCA